CACGUGGGUAAUCAACCCCCGGCACCGGGAUAGCCCGAGGAAACUCGGAUUAAUACCGGACGGCCCAGCAGCCUUUCGGGGCGGCUGGAAAAGGUAGCUUCGGCCCCCGGCCGGGGACGAGCCCGCGGCGGAUUAGCUUGUUGGUGGGGUAACGGCCUACCAAGGCGACGAUCCGUAGCUGGUCUGAGAGGACGAUCAGCCACACUGGGACUGAGACACGGCCCAGACUCCUACGGGAGGCAGCAGUGGGGAAUCUUGCACAAUGGGCGAAAGCCUGAUGCAGCGACGCCGCGUGAGGGA
rnacentral:rRNA from 1 species